rnacentral:tRNA from 1 species
GGACCAUUAGCUCAGUUGGUUAGAGCUACCGGCUCAUAACGGGUAGGUCCGCGGUUCGAAUCCGUGAUGGCCCACCA